AAUGUUUGCUUUCUUUUUCUUUUAAUCAGUUUUAAAUGCUGUCUGAUAUAAUGCAGUUGUUUUGUUUGUAGUCCCAGGAGGCCACGAACAUCAAUUUUGUUCUGAGGGCAAAAGCCAAGGGGUUCCUCAAAAUAGGCAAGGAUGGUGGAGUGCUCAGGUUUUGCUGCCUUCUCCAUGACACCAUCUUCCAACUGAGCAACCUCUCCAAGUCACUGCAGAGGUCAGUGUCAACCCUGGCUGAAGCUCAGAGCUGCCUUUCCUCUACUCAGGCUGUCAUAGAAAAGUACAAGUCAAGACCUGGGCCUAAGCUGAGAGCAGUGCUGUACACAGACUCCUAUGAGGGAGUCCUCCUGAAGCCUACUGAUGCCGACCAGCAUGACAAGGCAAAGAAUGAGCUGAUCGAUUCUCUUUGCCGGUGCAUCACUGUUAGAUUUAGUGAUGUGAACAGUGGUGUCCUGCAGGCUAUGCGGCUGACCAGCUUCCAGUGCUGGCCAGAGGCAGACACGAGUUCAGAUUUUGGUGAUGAAGAGGUUAACAAACUCAUCAGUCACUUCCGACCUCUUUUACUGUCUGCUGGAGUGGAUGUGGAGUUGAUCCCUGAUCAAUGGACAAUUCUCAAGACUGAA